ensembl:lncRNA
CAACGCUGCUGCUCGGUCACCUCUGGCUGGAGGAAGUGACUAACUCCUGAGCAGGCAGACAAGGCCCUGUUGAGAGAUUGCAGCCAGAGUCAAGGCAAUGCAGUCACUGGGGAUCUGCACCCGAUUCCUCUGAAUAAGGAUUUUCCCACUAACCUGAGCAGCUUAAAAGAUGGCAGUUUCACCAAGUGUUUGGCUUCUGGUGAUCCAACAGCUUCUACUGAGGACAAAAAAUAUACCUGCACUUCACAGGUUUUGUACCCAUGCUAGUUCUUACCAGGUAUAGUUUUAGUUUGCUACGCAAAGAAGAAAACCAAGUGUCCCACCUGGAUUUCACAUCAAGAAGGUAUCCAGUACUUUUCAAGCCAAUCAAAAGGGCCCAGACUGAGCUGCACCGAAGAUCACAGAAGUGACAAUGUAAUGGCCAGCACCUUCCUGAACCCAGCUGCAGGCAGGUUCCAGCCUAAGUGAAAUUGAGGUGCUUCUGCUAAGCCAUGUCCCUGCAGUAGGUCUCAGCGCCUGUCCCCAACCCAACCCUGGCACCUCCAGCUUCACAGCUGCUAAGUGAGGAGGGACAACAGAAAAUGCUCUCAAAAGGUUAAAAAGAAAAAUGCAACAGAAAUGCUGGCCAAGUCAGGAUCAGCCUUGGAAGCUCUCUCAUUCUCAGUUUGAGCUUGGACAUGUGGAAAAAAUAAUAGUCAUGAAAAGACUUGCAGGCCCUCCCAGUCUAGAUGAAGAAUAAACAAUGCAAAGGGACACAGCAAAGAGGGAAGAAAAAAAAAAAAAAAAGAUAAAUGAUGAUUAUCC